AUUCCACGGAUCAUCAAGGAGCCACAUCUGAGAAUGCUCAGAUUGGUAGGUAGCGGGCGACCACCAUCCUGAAAGAGGAGUGAUUGGAAGAUUUAUUGCUGGACAAAGAUUUAGGCACAACAGAGGGAAGAGGACCUCGCUCCUCCCCGCCGACUGAUACAGGACAUGCAGGCUAUAUUGUGUGUCAUGACUUUGAUAGACCUGUAUCUGAGGAGAGGCAGAAAGUGAAGAUUCAGCAAGUAACCCAUGAUGACAGAAAGGGGAAUCAACUGAGGCCAGAGAUAGUGAUGACAGUGCCAGUGGGCAAAUCUCUUCCAUUUCUGCAGCUGUAGGUUUAACUCUUGGAACAGAGCAAGUCCCUUCUGAGUGGAUGACAACACUGCCUUGAAAGACUGGCCUUUGAGAAGCAAGUGAUCAUGGUAUGGGAAGAUGAGAAUUGCUUCCUGCCAAAGGUUCUGCAGGUCUCUGACACCCCUGGAACUGAGCAGGGCUUGAUCUCUGGACAGUCUGUGACCUACUGAAGUGCUUCUUGUAUAAAUACCCAAGGAAAAACGGGUGGCCCUGGAGUCCUUAAGUGUGUGCAGGGAGUCAUUUGUGGUUGCCGAGAAGAGUUUGUGACCAAAGGGGAGGUCCUCUACUGUGUUUUGGACCUCUCUCAGUAACCCUGAAAGCUGGAGCAUGGACACCCUGCGUAUAACUACCACCAUGGAGAUGGAUUUGGCAGCACUAUCUACAGCAUCACGGAUGCUUUGAGAGCUGUUCUGGCCAACAGCU